rnacentral:lncRNA from 1 species
GCAAAUUCUACAGAAGAGCAGCAGAAGUGGGUUAGUCGGUUGGUGAAAAAGAUACCUAAAAAGCCCCCAGCUCCAGACCCUUUUGCCCGAUCAUCUCCUAGAACUUCAAUGAAGAUACAGCAAAACCAGUCUAUUAGACGGCCAAGUCGACAGCUUGCCCCAAACAAACCUAGCUAACUGCCUUCUAUGAAAGCAGUCAUUAUUCAAGGUGAUCGUAUUCUUCCAGUGAAAACAAGACUGAAAUAUGAUGGCCCAAAAUUUAUUAAAAAGCUAUAUUUUCCUGAGAGACUGAUACAUACACUCAUACAUAUAUGUGUUCCCCUUUUCCCUGUAAUAUAAAUUACAAAUCUGGGCUCCUUUGAAGCAACAGGUUGAACCAACAAUGAUUGGUUGAUAGACUAAGGAUAUAUGCAACUCUUCCAGACUUUUCCAUAAAGCUCUCUCGGCAGUCGCUCACACUACAAUGCACACAAGGAUUGAGAAGAGUUAAAGGCUAAAGAAAACAUCUUUUCUAGCUUCAACAGAGAGGUUUCACCAGCACAUUUACCAGAAGAAUCUGGGAAUGGAUUCCACUACAGUGAUAUUGACUGCAUCUUUAAGAAGUG